AGUGAACGCUGGCGGUAGGCCUAACACAUGCAAGUCGAACGGCAGCACAGUAAGAGCUUGCUCUUACGGGUGGCGAGUGGCGGACGGGUGAGGAAUACAUCGGAAUCUACCUUUUCGUGGGGGAUAACGUAGGGAAACUUACGCUAAUACCGCAUACGACCUACGGGUGAAAGCAGGGGAUCUUCGGACCUUGCGCGAUUGAAUGAGCCGAUGUCGGAUUAGCUAGUUGGCGGGGUAAAGGCCCACCAAGGCGACGAUCCGUAGCUGGUCUGAGAGGAUGAUCAGCCACACUGGAACUGAGACACGGUCCAGACUCCUACGGGAGGCAGCAGUGGGGAAUAUUGGACAAUGGGCGCAAGCCUGAUCCAGCCAUACCGCGUGGGUGAAGAAGGCCUUCGGGUUGUAAAGCCCUUUUGUUGGGAAAGAAAAGCAGCAGGUUAAUACCCCGCUGUUCUGACGGUACCCAGAGAAUAAGCACCGGCUAACUUCGUG
rnacentral:rRNA from 1 species